GAGGAUGACCAGCCACACUGGAACUGAGACACGGUCCAGACUCCUACGGGAGGCAGCAGUGGGGAAUAUUGGACAAUGGGGGAAACCCUGAUCCAGCAAUGCCGCGUGUGUGAAGAAGGCCUGAGGGUUGUAAAGCACUUUCAGUGGGGAGGAGGAUUGACAGGUUAAGAGCUAGUUAAUUGGACGUUACCCACAGAAGAAGUACCGGCUAACUCCGUGCCAGCAGCCGCGGUAAUACGGAGGGUGCGAGCGUUAAUCGGAAUUACUGGGCGUAAAGGGUGCGUAGGUGGUUGGAUAAGUUAUCUGUGAAAGCCCUGGGCUCAACCUGGGAAGGUCAGAUAAGACUGUUCGACUCGAGUAUAGGAGAGGGUAGUGGAAUUUCCGGUGUAGCGGUGAAAUGCGUAGAGAUCGGAAGGAACACCAGUGGCGAAGGCGGCUACCUGGCCUGAUACUGACACUGAAGCACGAAAGCGUGGGGAGCAAACA
rnacentral:rRNA from 1 species